rnacentral:snRNA from 1 species
AUUUCCUCGCCGCCUUUGUUGCGAGUUGUU